GUGGCUUAAUUUGACUCAACGCGGGAAAUCUUACCGGGUCCGGACACACUGAGGAUUGACAGGUAUUAUAUAGCAACUUUCGGGUUGUCUAUUGUUAAAUAUGCUAGUCCUUUCAUGAUUAUGUGAUAGGUGGUGCAUGGCCGUUCUUAGUUCGUGGAGUGAUCUGUCUGCUUAAUUGCGUUUCAGAUAAGGAUCUAUAUUCUUUACAGUGUCGUAGUGUUUUAAUUGACCCCUCUUUCGAGAGUGUGUGUCUUUUUUGCGC
rnacentral:rRNA from 1 species